UACGAAGGGGGCUGGCGUUGUUCGGAUUUACUGGGCGUAAAGCGCACGUAGGCGGAUCGUUAAGUGAGGGGUGAAAUCCCAGGGCUCAACCCUGGAACUGCCUUUCAUACUGGCGAUCUCGAGUCCGGAAGAGGUGAGUGGAACUCCUAGUGUAGAGGUGGAACUCGUAGAUAUUAGGAAGAACACCAGUGGCGAAGGCGGCUCACUGGUCCGGUACUGACGCUGAGGUGCGAAAGCGUGGGGAGCAAACAGG
rnacentral:rRNA from 1 species